rnacentral:rRNA from 1 species
UGCGCAGGCGGUUAUAUAAGUCAGAUGUGAAAUCCCCGGGCUCAACCUGGGAACUGCAUUUGAGACUGUAUGGCUAGAGUGUGUCAGAGGGGGGUAGGAAUUCCACGUGUAGCAGUGAAAUGCGUAGAUAUGUGGAGGAAUACCGAUGGCGAAGGCAGCCCCCUGGGAUAACACUGACGCUCAUGCACGAAAGCGUGGGGAGCAAACAGGAUUAGAUACCCUGGUAGUCCACGCCCUAAACGAUGUCUACUAGUUGUCGGGACUUAAUUGUCUUGGUAACGCAGCUAACGCGUGAAGUAGACCGCCUGGGGAGUACGGUCGCAAGAUUAAA